GAUGAAGAACGCAGCGAAAUGCGAUAAGUAGUGUGAAUUGCAGAAUUCAGUGAAUCAUCGAAUCUUUGAACGCACAUUGCGCCCUUUGGUAUUCCAAAGGGCAUGCCUGUUCGAGCGUCAUUUGUACCCUCAAGCUUUGCUUGGUGUUGGGCGUCUUGUCUCUAGCUUUGCUGGAGACUCGCCUUAAAGUAAUUGGCAGCCGGCCUACUGGUUUCGGAGCGCAGCACAAGUCGCACUCUCUAUCAGCAAAGGUCUAGCAUCCAUUAAGCCGUUUUUUCAACUUUUGACCUCGGAUCAGGUAGGGAUACCCGCUGAACUUAAGCAUAUCAAAAGCGGAGGA
rnacentral:misc_RNA from 1 species